UAGGGAAUCUUCGGCAAUGGACGAAAGUCUGACCGAGCAACGCCGCGUGAGUGAAGAAGGUUUUCGGAUCGUAAAACUCUGUUGUUAGAGAAGAACAAGGACGUUAGUAACUGAACGUCCCCUGACGGUAUCUAACCAGAAAGCCACGGCUAACUACGUGCCAGCAGCCGCGGUAAUACGUAGGUGGCAAGCGUUGUCCGGAUUUAUUGGGCGUAAAGCGAGCGCAGGCGGUUUCUUAAGUCUGAUGUGAAUGCCCCCGGCUCAACCGGGGAGGGUCAUUGGAAACUGGGAGACUUGAGUGCAGAAGAGGGGAGUGGAAUUCCAUGUGUAGCGGUGAAAUGCGUAGAUAUAUGGAGGAACACCAGUGGCGAAGGCGGCUCUCUGGUCUGUAACUGACGCUGAGGCUCGAAAGCGUGGGGAGCAAACAGG
rnacentral:rRNA from 1 species